rnacentral:rRNA from 1 species
UACGAAGGGGGCUAGCGUUGCUCGGAAUCACUGGGCGUAAAGCGCACGUAGGCGGCUUUUUAAGUCAGGGGUGAAAUCCUGGAGCUCAACUCCAGAACUGCCUUUGAUACUGAGAAGCUUGAGUUCGGGAGAGGUGAGUGGAACUGCGAGUGUAGAGGUGAAAUUCGUAGAUAUUCGCAAGAACACCAGUGGCGAAGGCGGCUCACUGGCCCAUUACUGACGCUGAGGCACGAAAGCGUGGGGAGCAAACAGG